UUCGGACUGCAGGCUGCAACUCGCCUGCACGAAGUUGGAAUUGCUAGUAAUCGUGGAUCAGCAUGCCACGGUGAAUACGUUCCCGGGUCUUGUACACACCGCCCGUCACACCAUGGGAGCCGGUAAUACCCGAAGUCAGUAGUCUAACCGCAAGGAGGACGCUGCCGAAGGUAGGAUUGGCGACUGGGGUGAAGUCGUAACAAGGUACC
rnacentral:rRNA from 1 species